GUAUACUUAUAAGAUUAACAU
rnacentral:snRNA from 1 species